AAAUCAUUAACGGCAUCUCCUCUUAGGGCAGACAUGAAUAGGGGUAAAGUGUAGGGCUCAUGACUUGCUGAAACAGGUAGCUGAUAUUCUGAUCCACCAUAUGAUGCUGUGGGAAAAAUAUAGAUCUACUGCAAGCAGUUAGAAUCUAUAUUUUUGGGUAAAAUCCCCAACUCCUAAAUUUUAAUUAAAAACCUUAAAAGACUCUGAAAGUCAAAUAAAAAAUGUUUGGGUGUGGAUUUGGCCAAUGAACUGUUAGUUUGUAACCCCUGUUAUGGGCUAGUUGCAUAUUCAUUAAAUUCAUCCUUUUAUUAAAGAAAUUUCAGAGGACUAUCCAAGAUGACAAUAACCAGACAUGCUGGUGCAGCAUACAAGUUUUGGAACAAACGUGGAAGGGUCAAUUCAAGCACUAGUUCUCAGAUCCAAAGAUGGAAACAAGGUUUAGGGUGAUGGGAUUUGGCCAGGCUUUCUUCCCAGAAUCAAGAGUCAUUCUCUGAGGAAGAGUAGACUCACUCACUGUCUUGAAACACUGAUGGAUGAAAGAGACCAGAUAAAGAAGACCAAUACCCUGAGUACCUUGGGAUACUUAUCCAGAAGUCAAUCAAGAAAUAAAGCUCCUCUCCCUCAAAGUCUAAGGUUGGCCUGGCCCUUUCCUUGUUCAAGAAACCACUGGAGGUUCAUCCGAUGCCUGAGGGGAAGAUUUCAGGGCAAAACCACAAAAGAACCAUCUCUGGGUUAUGAAUUUAAAAACUGAGAGGAUGGGCUAAAACUGAAAGAUUUGGAAGAUAGAUGAAUUACUUUCUCCUUCCUAUUAUCUACCAGGCCAAGAAAAUACUCUGUGGACCUGGGAAAGAGGAGAAGAAAGAUAUGCCAGGAAAUGAGAAUAAAGGAAUAAGCAGAGAAGAGUGAAGUCA
rnacentral:lncRNA from 1 species